rnacentral:rRNA from 1 species
GAUGAACGCUGGCGGCGUGCCUAAUACAUGCAAGUCGAGCGAAGCGGGGACGGGUGAGUAACACGUGGAUACACUGCUAUAAGACUGGGAUAACUUAGGGAAACCGGAGCUAAACCGGAUACUUAUAGAUGGAUCAGGGCUGCAUUAGCUAGUUGGUAAGGUAACGGCUUACCAAGGCACAGAUACAUAGCCGACCUGGGAGGGGGAUCGGGCACACUGGAACUGAGGCACGGCCCCAACUCCUUCGGGAAGGAGCAGUGGGGAAUCUUGCGCAAUGGGCGAAAGCCUGACGCAGCCAUGCCGCGUGAAUGAUGAAGGGCUUAGGAUUGUAAAAUUCUUUCACCGGGGACGCGGUACCCGGAGAAGAAGCACCGGCUAAUUCCGUGCCAGCAGCCGCGGUAAUAC